rnacentral:ncRNA from 1 species
UAUUAAGCAUUGAAAUGAAGUAGUAAUGCUAAAUUUCUUAGUUAAGAGAACUGUUGGUUGGUGUAAAACAGUAAGGAAUAGCAUGAACUUAUCAUGGAGCUUGCUAAUUUAAAAAAUUAGCACGGUAAAAGCCGUUAUUUUGUAAGUGAAGUAUGAUUAUACUUAACUAGAGUGGUACCGCGGAAGUAUAGCUUUCGUCUCUAAA